AGAAGUGUUUCUCCUGCACCUCCUUCUCCUGCUUCUUCUUCCAACCCUCUUCUUGUCUCAGACAAACAAAAGUGCCCUCCCGCAACAGCGAGUUUCUCUUUAUAAAGCACAACCCAGACAGCAUCAAAGUAGAUUCCGCACUCAAUGGCGUCAUUAACGCCACUGUCAUCAUUCUUCUGGAAACAAGUCUGGCGAGGAGAAGAAGCCGGGCGCUUUCGCCGAAAUGGUGUAGUGAUUAAAGCGGCCGCUGGACGGAGCCACUGAAGAUGAAGAAGAAGUGGCUUGUGUGAAGUGUCUGGGCGCGCGCACUUGUUCCCGGGUCCUCUAGGGACUUCCCGGUGCUCCCACGGGCGUUGCUGUGGGUUUGGAGGAGUUCCAUGUGUAGUUUUUCAGGUGAUUUCGGACAACCCUGACAUCAUGCCCCCGGUUUUUCCCACUGUGUUGUGGCCGUGUGCCCGCUCGAGAGGCAGAAUCAUGGAGUGGUAGAAAUCAGGUGACUUUCCAGAAAAUCCUAAAUAAAGUGAAUGAUUUUACCAAA